rnacentral:tRNA from 1 species
GGAGAUGUGAUGAAAUUGGUAGACAUACCAGCUUACCAAGCUGGCGGAUAUUAUCCAUGCGGGUUCGAAUCCCGUCAUCUCCA